AAUGUAGCUUAAUGUUGCAGCAUUUGUUCAUGGCGUGGAUUGCGAACACACUUUUACUCCAUUUUAUCAUAGUCAAACCAUAGUGGAUCAGUCUAUUAUUUCUAUGACACACAUAUACAUACUCACUCACUCAAAAUUUAGGAGCCCUACAAAAAUCUCAAAGACUGGAUUCUUAUUGAGAGCAUUUCCACAUCUGACUUAAGACACAUGCAAAAGAAACAGUCAUUGCAUAUGUUGUGCAUCAAACUUUCGUGAAAUCAACAAUCGUCGAUCAGAACAUACACUGUGGAAUUCGAUCAUGGAUGCAAUUUGGGUUUCAGCUCAAGACAACGGUGAAUGCAAUGGAAGUGACAAUCUCCUUAGUGAGAAGAUAUGUAUGAUAGGUGAAAGCAUCGUAUGCUAUGAUA
rnacentral:lncRNA from 1 species